GUUCCUGCCUCUGUUUUUGUGGCCUUAACAAACCAGGUGUUGUGCUCCAGUUCUCGUCUGAGAUCCCUGAAGAAGAACAUCUUCCCACCCUUCAACAAGACAGGACCUAUCUUUAAAAGGGAACAAAGAGAACUCUGAGACUUACUAGCUCGCCUCACUUCCAUAGCUGGAGAGAUACUGGAGUACAUUCUUAAACUAUCAGUUUGUCAGCAGCACCAACAGGAUAGUUUGGUUCUUAGGACUAGUGAGCAUGGAUUUGUCAAGAACAAAUCAUUCCAAACCAAUCCUCUUUCCUUCUUCGGCAGGGUUCCGGGCCUAGUGAAGCCAGCUGAUCGCCCAGUGUCAUCACCCUGCCUGCUGGCUGGGCAGGGUAACUCCUCAGGUCACCACCCUCCUCUCCAGCCUGUCUUGGGCUUGGAGAGUGAGGAGAAGGGCGAGGGAUGACAUUGAACAUCCUCCAUCCAUCGCUUCAUCACCAGAGCAAGAUGGCCAGGCUCCUGAGGAUGUUCAGGAAGAAGGCUCUGCAGGCGGCCCCAGAGCCUGUGGAAAGCAGCUGCCAUCUUCCCCAGGAGCCGAGCGG